AGGGAGUAGGUGCUCGGGGGCCUCGGAUAAAGAAUCGUCCUGUGUUUGAAUGCCCCCAUCCUCACAGAAAGGGCUUUGUUUUAGUCCCAGGCAGGGUCUUUUCUGUGCCUUGUCUGGUAUCUAAUUAGAGUCUAUGUAGCUGACAGCUUUAUUUUCUUGGAAGAAGAGCUCCUCAUGAGCCAUCCCAUGACUGAAGAACUGGUAUUAAUCUGGGUAACCAGACUCAGAGUGCUCACGGAAAGGGCAGGGGCUCCUUCUGAACUCUGAGCAGAGACAACAGCUGCCUCAUUCUAGCCGCAUCAUUGAAAGCUGGACCAGUCCUCCCCCAGAUUCCAAAGCCCUCUUGUCCUCUGUCACAUUGUUCUACUGUUACAUCAUCAGCCUGCGGGGGCAGGACAGGUGCUGGAUAGAUCAUGGCCAUCCCUCCAGCUGCCCCGUACACAUCUCAGGCCCUCCCAGAUGGCAUCUGGGAGCUCUAAUCCAGCUGUAGGAUGGUACGUGGCUGGCUUUUCCUGCUUUGGACUGUGACUUUACAGCAAGAUGUCCCCACUCAAAGAUAAGAUGGACUUCCAAAUGAGGUGAAGCAAGAUAUCAUUGAAGUUGGAUGGAUACAAAGCAAGGGCAGAGCAGGGGGAGAACGAGAAGGGGAGAUCACAGCAACCAUCGCAAAGAAUCAGGAUCCUCCAGACAAUAUCUGUCCUUCAACUGGCAUCAGGCUUUCCUCUCACAGUCUGUGGGAAACCCAGGGGUCUGUGCCUAGGGGUGUAUUAAGUUUUGUCUGACUGUCUUUGGACAGACAAGAGGAGGGAGGAAGAUUCUGUGGAAUAGAUAAACUAGAAAAGGUUGGUGAUGGAUUAAAAAUUGGAAUCCAACCCUGUCAAUGUGUUUAUUUGACUUCCACAUUCUCCUCCCCCCUUUAUUCCCAUUCCUCUUUUCCCUUCCCCCAGACUGACAUAAAAUGAUACCCUGAUGGCUAUUUCAGCUGCAACCCUAUAUACCCAGGGAAGCCUGAGCCCCCCAGCUGCUGGCCAGCUCUGAUCCCCUAAUCCCAGAGGGACCAGCUGGUCAGAGUUCUCAGGGACGGCAGACCUCAAGUGCAAAUUUGGCUUCUGCUUCCAACAGACUCUGAUCAUGGCCAGAUUACUGAGCUUCUCUGUGUGCUGGGUCUAUUAUCAGCAUCCUGCUCCCCCGGUACACAUACUACCCCAGAUGAUAGAAAGAAGCAUCCUGAAUUUCUUGAAACACUAUUCUAGAAAUGCACCUUUCCAUUUCCCACUGUAAUUACCACAUCGGAAUUUAGUCCCCAUGCGGGUUAGCUUGAUCUUGGGUGGGCCAGUCCCCUUCACUAUUGGCCUGGGCGGCUGUUUAGUCAUUG